rnacentral:rRNA from 1 species
UACGUAGGGUGCAAGCGUUAAUCGGAAUUACUGGGCGUAAAGCGUGCGCAGGCGGUGAUGUAAGACAGAUGUGAAAUCCCCGGGCUCAACCUGGGAACUGCAUUUGUGACUGCAUCGCUGGAGUGCGGCAGAGGGGGAUGGAAUUCCACGUGUAGCAGUGAAAUGCGUAGAGAUGUGGAGGAACACCGAUGGCGAAGGCAGCCCCCUGGGCUAACACUGACGCUCAUGCACGAAAGCGUGGGGAGCAAACAGG